rnacentral:rRNA from 1 species
UACAGAGGUGCCAAGCGUUAGGCGGAAUCACUGGGCUUAAAGCGCGUGUAGGUGGACGGGUAAGUAUCUUGUGAAAUCCCAUGGCUCAACCGUGGAACUGCUGGAUAUACUGCUUGUCUUGAGGCACUUAGGGGCAGCUGGAACAAAUGGUGGAGCGGUGAAAUGCGUAGAUAUCAUUUGGAACGCCAAAGGCGAAAGCAGGCUGCUGGGAGUGAUCUGACACUGAGACGCGAAAGCCAGGGGAGCAAACGGG